rnacentral:rRNA from 1 species
UACGAAGGGUCCAAGCGUUGUUCGGAAUCAUUGGGCGUAAAGCGCGCGCAGGCGGAUCAGUAAGUCAGAUGUGAAAUCUCAGGGCUCAACCCUGAAACUGCGUCUGAAACUACUAGUCUAGAGUGUCGGAGGGGGUAGGGGAAUUUCACGUGUAGGGGUAAAAUCCGUAGAGAUGUGAAGGAACACCGGAGGCGAAGGCGCCUGCCUGGACGACUACUGACGCUGAGGCGCGAAAGCGUGGGGAGCAAACAGG